AUUUUUUUUUAAGCGCUGUGCACUUUUUGCAAUUUUUUGCACUUAUUACACUUGAAUAUUUGUAAAUAUUUGUAGUGGCUUGGGCGGAGCUGGAUUCGGUGCACCCUGUGGGGUAGGCCCAGUUUUUCUGAUACUUUGGAUUCAAGCCUCCAUUUUAGACACUUCUCUCGCUUCCAAAUGUGUAAGGAAUGUAAGUGAAGAUGUUUGUGAAACACAUAAAACCAACUCCAGACCCAUUUCAAAAAGAGCGCUAUCUACGUGAAACGGUUCAUUGUAUGAUUCAAACAUUAUUAUAUAGGAGUUUGUUUACUAAACAGUUAAUUAUGGUGAAUUAAAACUAGAAUUGCAAAAUGGUGG